rnacentral:tRNA from 1 species
GACAAUGUAGCCAAGUGGUUACGGCGAUUAAUUAGAAAUCAGUUCCUCUUUGAGGGCGUAGAUUCAAAUACUGUCAUCAGCGGGUUA